rnacentral:rRNA from 1 species
UACGUAGGGCGCAAGCGUUGUCCGGAUUCACUGGGUGUAAAGGGUGCGUAGGCGGGAAGGUAAGUCCGCGGUGAAAUCUCACAGCUCAACUGUGAAACUGCCGUUGAUACUGCUUUUCUUGAGUUCGGGAGAGGUUGAUGGAAUUCCAGGUGUAGCGGUGAAAAUGCGUAGAUAUCUGGAAGAACACCAGUGGCGAAGGCGGUCAACUGGCCCGUAACUGACGCUGAGGCACGAAAGCUGGGGGGAGCAAACAGG